rnacentral:rRNA from 1 species
UACGUAGGGGGCAAGCGUUGUCCGGAUUUAUUGGGCGUAAAGAGCGUGUAGGCGGCCUGAAAGGUCAGCUGUGAAAACUCGAGGCUCAACCUCGAGACGUCGGUUGAAACCAUCUGGCUAGAGUCCGGGAGAGGAGUGUGGAAUUCCCGGUGUAGUGGUGAAAUGCGUAGAUAUCGGGAGGAACACCAGUGGCGAAGGCGACUUCCUGGCCUGUUCUUGACGCUGAGGCGCGAAAGCUAGGGUAGCAAACGGG